rnacentral:hammerhead_ribozyme from 1 species
AUCCAGCUGACGAGUCAAAAAAUAGGACGAAACGCGCGUGUCCUGGAU